rnacentral:rRNA from 1 species
UGGGGAAUAUUGGACAAUGGGCGCAAGCCUGAUCCAGCCAUGCCGCGUGAGGGAUGAAGGCCCUAGGGUUGUAAAGCUCUUUCACCGGUGAAGAUAAUGACGGUAACCGGAGAAGAAGCCCCGGCUAACUUCGUGCCAGCAGCCGCGGUAAUACGAAGGGGGCUAGCGUUGUUCGGAUUUACUGGGCGUAAAGCGCACGUAGGCGGACUAUUAAGUCAGGGGUGAAAUCCCGGGGCUCAACCCCGGAACUGCCUUUGAUACUGGUAGUCUUGAGUUCGAGAGAGGUGAGUGGAAUUCCGAGUGUAGAGGUGAAAUUCGUAGAUAUUCGGAGGAACACCAGUGGCGAAGGCGGCUCACUGGCUCGAUACUGACGCUGAGGUGCGAAAGCGUGGGGAGCAAACAGG